UAGCCUUGACAUUGAUUGAACGGACCAGAGAUGGACCGGUGCCCUUCGGGGAACAUGAAAACAGGUGCUGCACGGCUGUCGUCAGCUCGUGUCGUGAGAUGUUGGGUUAAGUCCCGCAACGAGCGCAACCCUCGUCCUUAGUUGCCAGCAGGUUAAGCUGGGCACUCUAAGGAGACUGCCUUCGUAAGGAGGAGGAAGGUGAGGACGACGUCAAGUCAUCAUGGCCCUUAUGGCUAGGGCUACACACGUGCUACAAUGGGGCGUACAGAAAGUUGCGAUACCGCGAGGUGGAGCCAAUCUCAUAAAGCGUCUCUCAGUUCGGAUUGAAGUCUGCAACUCGACUUCAUGAAGC
rnacentral:rRNA from 1 species